rnacentral:rRNA from 1 species
GGUUAAGCGACUAAGCGUACACGGUGGAUGCCCUGGCAGUCAGAGGCGAUGAAGGACGUGCUAAUCUGCGAUAAGCGUCGGUAAGGUGAUAUGAACCGUUAUAACCGGCGAUUUCCGAAUGGGAAACCCAGUGUGAUUCGUCACACUAUCAUUAACUGAAUCCAUAGGUUAAUGAGGCGAACCGGGGAACUGAAACAUCUAAGUACCCUGAGGAAAAGAAAUCAACCGAGAUUCCCCAGUAGCGGCGAGCGAACGGGGAGCAGCCCAGAGCCUGAAUCAGUGUGUGUGUUAGUGGAAGCGUCUGGAAAGGCGCGCGAUACAGGGUGACAGCCCCGUACACAAAAAUGCACAUGCUGUGAGCUCGAUGAGUAGGGCGGGACACGUGGUAUCCUGUCUGAAUAUGGGGACCAUCCUCCAAGGCUAAAUACUCCUGACUGACCGAUAGUGAACCAGUACCGUGAGGGAAAGGCGAAAAGAACCCCGGCGAGGGAGUGAAAAAGAACCUGAAACCGUGUACGUACAAGCAGUGGGAGCACGCUUAGGCGUGUGACUGCGUACCUUUUGUAUAAUGGGUCAGCGACUUAUAUUCUGUAGCAAGGUUAACCGAAUAGGGAGCCGAAGGGAAACCGAGUCUUAACUGGGCGUUAAGUUGCAGGGUAUAGACCCGAAACCCGGUGAUCUAGCCAUGGGCAGGUUGAAGGUUGGGUAACACUAACUGGAGGACCGAACCGACUAAUGUUGAAAAAUUAGCGGAUGACUUGUGGCUGGGGUGAAAGGCCAAUCAAACCGGGAGAUAGCUGGUUCUCCCGAAAGCUAUUUAGGUAGCGCCUCGUGAAUUCAUCUCCGGGGGUAGAGCACUGUUUCGGCAAGGGGUCAUCCCGACUUACCAACCCGAUGCAAACUGCGAAUACCGGAGAAUGUUAUCACGGGAGACACACGGCGGGUGCUAACGUCCGUCGUGAAGAGGAAACAACCCAGACCGCCAGCUAAGGUCCCAAAGUCAUGGUUAAGUGGGAAACGAUGUGGGAAGGCCCAGACAGCCAGGAUGUUGGCUUAGAAGCAGCCAUCAUUUAAAGAAAGCGUAAUAGCUCACUGGUCGAGUCGGCCUGCGCGGAAGAUGUAACGGGGCUAAACCAUGCACCGAAGCUGCGGCAGCGACGCUGAUGCGUUGUUGGGUAGGGAGCGUUCUGUAAGCCUGCGAAGGUGUGCUGUGAGGCAUGCUGGAGGUAUCAGAAGUGCGAAUGCUGACAUAAGUAACGAUAAAGCGGGUGAAAAGCCCGCUCGCCGGAAGACCAAGGGUUCCUGUCCAACGUUAAUCGGGGCAGGGUGAGUCGACCCCUAAGGCGAGGCCGAAAGGCGUAGUCGAUGGGAAACAGGUUAAUAUUCCUGUACUUGGUGUUACUGCGAAGGGGGACGGAGAAGGCUAUGUUGGCCGGGCGACGGUUGUCCCGGUUUAAGCGUGUAGGCUGGUUUUCCAGGCAAAUCCGGAAAAUCAAGGCUGAGGCGUGAUGACGAGGCACUACGGUGCUGAAGCAACAAAUGCCCUGCUUCCAGGAAAAGCCUCUAAGCAUCAGGUAACAUCAAAUCGUACCCCAAACCGACACAGGUGGUCAGGUAGAGAAUACCAAGGCGCUUGAGAGAACUCGGGUGAAGGAACUAGGCAAAAUGGUGCCGUAACUUCGGGAGAAAGGCACGCUGAUAUGUAGGUGAAGUCCCUCGCGGAUGGAGCUGAAAUCAGUCGAAGAUACCAGCUGGCUGCAACUGUUUAUUAAAAACACAGCACUGUGCAAACACGAAAGUGGACGUAUACGGUGUGACGCCUGCCCGGUGCCGGAAGGUUAAUUGAUGGGGUCAGCCGCAAGGCGAAGCUCUUGAUCGAAGCCCCGGUAAACGGCGGCCGUAACUAUAACGGUCCUAAGGUAGCGAAAUUCCUUGUCGGGUAAGUUCCGACCUGCACGAAUGGCGUAAUGAUGGCCGGCUGUCUCCACCCGAGACUCAGUGAAAUUGAACUCGCUGUGAAGAUGCAGUGUACCCGCGGCAAGACGGAAAGACCCCGUGAACCUUUACUAUAGCUUGACACUGAACAUUGAGCCUUGAUGUGUAGGAUAGGUGGGAGGCUUUGAAGUGUGGACGCCAGUCUGCAUGGAGCCGACCUUGAAAUACCACCCUUUAAUGUUUGAUGUUCUAACGUUGACCCGUAAUCCGGGUUGCGGACAGUGUCUGGUGGGUAGUUUGACUGGGGCGGUCUCCUCCUAAAGAGUAACGGAGGAGCACGAAGGUUGGCUAAUCCUGGUCGGACAUCAGGAGGUUAGUGCAAUGGCAUAAGCCAGCUUGACUGCGAGCGUGACGGCGCGAGCAGGUGCGAAAGCAGGUCAUAGUGAUCCGGUGGUUCUGAAUGGAAGGGCCAUCGCUCAACGGAUAAAAGGUACUCCGGGGAUAACAGGCUGAUACCGCCCAAGAGUUCAUAUCGACGGCGGUGUUUGGCACCUCGAUGUCGGCUCAUCACAUCCUGGGGCUGAAGUAGGUCCCAAGGGUAUGGCUGUUCGCCAUUUAAAGUGGUACGCGAGCUGGGUUUAGAACGUCGUGAGACAGUUCGGUCCCUAUCUGCCGUGGGCGCUGGAGAACUGAGGGGCUGCUCCUAGUACGAGAGGACCGGAGUGGACGCAUCACUGGUGUUCGGGUUGUCAUGCCAAUGGCACUGCCCGGUAGCUAAAUGCGGAAGAGAUAAGUGCUGAAAGCAUCUAAGCACGAAACUUGCCCCGAGAUGAGUUCUCCCUGACUCCUUGAGAGUCCUGAAGGAACGUUGAAGACGACGACGUUGAUAGGCCGGGUGUGUAAGCGCAGCGAUGCGUUGAGCUAACCGGUACUAAUGAACCGUGAGGCUUAACCUU